rnacentral:rRNA from 1 species
AGAGUUUGAUCAUGGCUCAGGACGAACGCUGGCGGCGCGCUUAACACAUGCAAGUCGAACGGUGAACCGGGCUUCGGCCCGGGAUCAGUGGCGAACGGGUGCGUAACACGUGGGCAACCUGCCCCUCACUCUGGGAUAACCCCGGGAAACCGGAGCUAAUACCGGAUACUCCGACCGGUCCGCAUGGUCCGGUCGGGAAAGGUCCGCCGGUGAGGGAUGGGCCCGCGGCCUAUCAGCUUGUUGGUGGGGUAACGGCCCACCAAGGCGACGACGGGUAGCUGGUCUGAGAGGACGACCAGCCACACUGGGACUGAGAUACGGCCCAGACUCCUACGGGAGGCAGCAGUGGGGAAUCUUGCGCAAUGGGCGAAAGCCUGACGCAGCGACGCCGCGUGGGGGAUGAAGGCCCUCGGGUUGUAAACCCCUUUCGGCAGGGACGAAGCGAUCGUGACGGUACCUGCAGAAGAAGCCUCGGCUAACUACGUGCCAGCAGCCGCGGUAAGACGUAGGAGGCGAGCGUUGUCCGGAUUCAUUGGGCGUAAAGAGCACGCAGGCGGUUUGGCAAGUCGGAUGUGAAAACCCGAAGCUCAACUUCGGGCCUGCAUCCGAAACUGCCCGACUAGAGGUAGGUAGGGGAGAUCGGAAUUCCUGGUGUAGCGGUGAAAUGCGCAGAUAUCAGGAGGAACACCGGUGGCGAAGGCGGAUCUCUGGGCCUUACCUGACGCUCAGGUGCGAAAGCUAGGGGAGCGAACAGGAUUAGAUACCCUAGUAGUCC